rnacentral:rRNA from 1 species
GACGAACGCUGGCGGCGUGCUUAACACAUGCAAGUCGAACGGAAAGGCCCUGCUUUUGUGGGGUGCUCGAGUGGCGAACGGGUGAGUAACACGUGAGUAACCUGCCCUUGACUUUGGGAUAACUUCGGGAACCUGGGCCAAAACCCGGAUCGGCGCCCCCCCCGCAGGGGGGGGGUGGGAAAGUUCCGGCGGUUGGGGAUGGACCCCCGGCGUACCCGCUUGUUGGUGGGGUAGUGGCUUACCACGGCCUCGACGGGCAGCCGGCCUGAGGGGGUGACCGGCCACGUUGGGACUGGGGUGCGGCCCAGACUCCUACGGGAGGCAGCAGUGGGGAAUAUUGCACAAUGGGCGGAAGCCUGAUGCAGCAACGCCGCGUGCGGGAUGACGGCCUUCGGGUUGUAAACCGCUUUCGCCUGUGACGAAGCGUGAGUGACGGUAAUGGGUAAAGAAGCACCGGCUAACUACGUG